CAUUUCGGCCAGGCCAAGUCGCUUGGCAGUCAAAUCUCGAUGUGUAUAGGCUAUAAAGAAGGUACAUCUCUAUCACGGGGAGAAAAUCGGACAAACCCGCGAGGUGAAGGUUAAGCAGGAAGGCUGAUAAGCCACAAUCGAGAUCCGAUCGGAUUCCCCCUGGAAACAGUCUCCGAGUGCAGUUCGGUCUUAUCACCUUAUCAGGAAACCUGGUCAGCGCCCGAUCGCCUCGUGAUAUCAGCGCGUUCAGCUGGUGCACAAGCCCCGGUUCCUGAUUUCCAUUCGGAAUGAGUAGCAGUAGCCAGUCACAGAGUGCGAGAUCAGGCCACCAAUGCUUGGCGAACUGUGAUCGCAGAUAUGAUAGAUACACAUGCCGGAAGCAAACUAUGGUUUAGCUGGAUCACGCGAUAUAUAUACUCGCUGAUCGCCCCAAUUGAUCAAUUUUUGGAGUGACGCACUUAAAGGCAGAUAGCGAUUUGGAUAAUUGUGGGAGCAAAUUGGAAUUAUAUUGACCCAGAGAGCACUGAUAGAGAAAGGUGAUGAUCCCAGCUAUAAUCUCCGAAUUUGAAAGCGCGAAAAGCGUGCUG